AGCCUAUAGAACUUGGAGUGUAAUAAGAAAUCAGCACUCUGCUUAUAUUGUCACUUGGUCUAGUUUUAGCUGUUAUAGCCACCUACCUGUGGGCUACAAAGUUCAGAUCUCCAAUGAGACCAUCAACAGUUAAUGCUUUCAUCAGCAGGCAAGAAGCAAACAGAAAUGUUAAAAGAUGAAACACAUGAAUUGUACUCUUGAUUUUAAAUUUGAUAAAUUAUUAAAAAAUUGCAAAUUGUUA
rnacentral:lncRNA from 1 species